GUAAGACCCCUUGUAGAUGACAAGGUAGAUCGGUCCGGGGUGUAAGCACAGCAAUGUGUUCAGCUGACGGAUACGAAUCGGUCGAGGGCUUUCCCUA
rnacentral:rRNA from 1 species